GGGGGAUAUUGGACAAUGGGGGAAACCCUGAUCCAGCGACGCCGCGUGAGUGAAGAAGUAUUUCGGUAUGUAAAGCUCUAUCAGCAGGGGAAGAAAAUGACGGUACCUGACUAAGAAGCCCCGGCUAACUAC
rnacentral:rRNA from 1 species